rnacentral:rRNA from 1 species
AGUGGGGAAUAUUGCACAAUGGGCGCAAGCCUGAUGCAGCAACGCCGCGUGAGGGACGACGGCCUUCGGGUUGUAAACCUCUUUUAGCAGGGAAGAAGCGAAAGUGACGGUACCUGCAGAAAAAGCACCGGCUAACUACGUGCCAGCAGCCGCGGUAAUACGUAGGGUGCAAGCGUUAUCCGGAAUUAUUGGGCGUAAAGAGCUCGUAGGCGGUUUGUCGCGUCUGCUGUGAAACCCCGAGGCUCAACCUCGGGCCUGCAGUGGGUACGGGCAGACUAGAGUGCGGUAGGGGAGAUUGGAAUUCCUGGUGUAGCGGUGGAAUGCGCAGAUAUCAGGAGGAACACCGAUGGCGAAGGCAGAUCUCUGGGCCGUAACUGACGCUGAGGAGCGAAAGGGUGGGGAGCAAACAGGCUUAGAUACCCUGGUAGUCCACCCCGUAAACGUUGGGAACUAGUUGUGGGGUCCAUUCCACGGAUUCCGUGACGCAGCUAACGCAUUAAGUUCCCCGCCUGGGGAGUACGGCCGCAAGGCUA